GGACCCCUCAAGAAGAGAGAAGACCAUCUAAGCCUUACUAAUCAAAGGAUGACCCAUGGACCAGCAGCAUCUACAGCAUCAGGAGACAUUGUCAAAACAUCAAGCUUUUCUAUCAUGCAGGUCCAGAUAAAGAGGGUUGGAGUGGAUAUGAAAGGAUUCCACUGAGGUUGGGAUGAAAGAAAAAGACGAUCUAGAAAUUUCAAGGAACUCUGCUAUGUAAAUUUACCUGAACAUUACAAGAUAAACCUGAGUGUCUAAGAGACUAUCCUAAUCUCACAGACAUUUUAACCUGUGUAAACCCUCGAUUUGCUGGAAUGAACUUCAGUCAUGCAUUUGAGAACCCCCACUUUAAAUAUCGUAAAAAUGUCAUAAUAAUUUCAGAUAAAAGGUUUCCAUUUUUCUCCUUAUGUUUAUAAAACAAAAUUAAAGACUUGUUUUUUCCUCUUUUUCAUUUCAACCAACAAGGUUUUAAGGCCUGAAGAGCAAUUAUAUUUAUACUUUGCCAUGUUUGGUUGAAAGUUUAAACUUGAAAUAAAGUUGAGAUUUAUUGCACUU
rnacentral:lncRNA from 1 species